CUAGGUUGGCAGGAGCAGGGGCCGAGCAACGGGAGCUCACCCCGUUGCAGGGAUUCAAACCGCCAAUCUUCUGAUUAGCAAGUCCUAGGCUCUGUGGUUUAACCCACAGCCCACGUCCCACUGCACAAGUAGCUGCCCUCAAAUACACUUGACUAACAUUCAAUUCUUUGUUUUCCCCCAGACAUGAAUGACUGUGUCGGAUGCUCAGAAGGUCACUAUCCAAACAAAGACCAAACACAAUGUAUUCCAAAGACAAUAAGCUUCUUGACGUUUGAAGAACCUUUGGGGAUGAGCUUAGCUUUCCUCUCUGCCUUUUUCUCACUGCUCACAAUAUUGGUCCUAGUCAUUUUCAUUACACAUCAGAACACACCACUCGUCAGGGCCAACAACCGGAAUCUGACUUACAUGCUCCUCACCUCUCUUCUGCUCUGCUUUCUCUGCCCCUUCAUCUUCAUCAGCCCCCCGAGCACAGUGACUUGCCUUCUUCGACAAGUGACUUUUGGUAUCAUUUUCACAGUGACUGUUUCUUGUGUGUUGGCCAAAACCAUCACUGUGGUUCUGGCCUUUGGGGCCACCAAACCAGGAUCCAGAAUGAGGAAAUGGGUGGGAAAAAGACUGGCAAGCACCACUGUGCUUUCUUGCUCCCUUAUCCAAAUUGGUAUUUGUGCUGUGUGGUUGGGAACAUCUCCACCUUUCCCCAAUUCUGACUCGCACUCUGUGAUGGACAAAAUAAUACUAGACUGUAAUGAAGGGUCGGUUGUCAUGUUUUACUGUGUCCUGGGCUACAUGGGCUUCCUUGCCUUUGUCAGUUUUGUUGUGGCCUUUUUUGCCAGGAAACUGCCUGAGAGCUUCAAUGAGGCCAAAUUCAUCACCUUCAGCAUGUUCCUGUUUUGUAGUGUUUGGAUCUCGUUUGUUCCAGUCUACCUGAGCACUAAGGGGAAAUACAUGGUGGCUGUGGAGAUCUUCUCCAUCUUGGCCUCCAGUGCUGGCUUAUUAGGUUUCAUCUUUUCCCCCAAAUGCUACAUCAUUGUGUUGCGGCCUGAUCUAAAUGACAAACAGCAGUUAAUAAGGAGGAAACAGUAGUAUAUCCCACUGCCAGUCUUUUCUUUCAGACUACUCUAUAGUUAAUAUUCAUAUGCUCUCCAUCAUACAGUUAUUUUGUAUUAAUUGCUUUGUACCAUUUUUGUUGUCAGCAGUGUCCUCUUUGAGAUAUUAGACCAUUAAAGCCUAGGAAUUAUCCAUGUGCUGAAACUACAGAUUGGCACUGCUACAGGUGCCACAUAGUACCCAUUCAUUUCAUAGUAGAUCCGCCCCUGUAUAAACCUUCCUAUUUUCAAACCGAACCUGCCUUCCCCUAGUUUGUUUUAGUGUAAUAGUCAGUAAGCUAAAAAAGGGAGGUUCAUGCAGGAAGGUUUAGAGGACAGAUAAUGCAUAUUCUAUGGUCAUGUGAAGCACUCCUUCUCUGAAAAAAGACAGGCUCACUGUUCUUUUCUUAUUCUUUGUAGUUUACUUUGUGUGCCCUUUGUGUGUCGUCUCAGGAAUUGACAGAGAUGGCUUUUCAUGAAACAUCACAAAACAUGUUUUUCUCCAUUCUUCCGAUCUUCCCAGCAAUAACAGCACCUAGUUAUUAUCUCAUUGGUAAUUAUCACACUUGUCAUCACUGAAUCUCCUUUGGAUAAGGUCCUCAUAGAUUUUGAGAGAAUACUAGUCAAAGUCUAGUAAUAAAAAAUCCCUUCCUGCCAUUUCAAACAAUGGGGAGGGCAGAGGAAGAGGCAGGAUUUCCACUUUUCACUUGGAGAGUUGUAAUUCAGUCUUUUAAUCUGUGGAUUGGUGGAAUGACAUGGCAUUUGUGUGAGGGCAAAAGAUUCUAGUGAGGUUGGUUCUGAAGCUAACAGGCAUGUUCUCGAUGGAAGUAAAGGUGUGUGACUAGAAGGAACAUUUGCCUCAGCAUGCUGCUGAUUAUUGUGUCCAUUCUCUCCUUUCUGCCACAUGUGAUGUGCAAACAUAACAAACGUUGCACCACCAAUCAUUCGCUCAGCAUUCCACAUGAAUUCUAUCAGCCUGGUGACUUUAUAAUUGGUGGACUUGCUUCUCAUAUCUUUGGCUCUUUUGCUAAAGAAGACUUCAGAGAAAUCCUUAUCACCCAUCAAGUCCGUACUUUCUUGUAAGUAGUAAUCAAGUACACAUCAAGGAAUCAUUUGAUUCUGAUUCCCCAAUGCUAACCAUGCUUACUCAGAAACAAGCCCCCAUGAUUUCAGUGGGAUUUCUUUUCCCUAGUGAAGGCAGGAAUAAGAGUUAGGUGCAAAACUGAGGAGGAAGGGAAAUGGUGAUCUGAAACUGCUGGUAAGAUGAGAUAGCUUGGACUUGCUGAUCAGUUCUGAUCCCCCAUUUCCUCCCUCCUCUUCACAAUUCUCUUCCAGGCAGCGCUUCAUUAGAGGAGCAAAGGUUUAGUUUUACUUGGAAAUCUGAGCUUCCGAUGUGGAAGCCCUUCUUGAAAUGAGGGGCUUCUGAAUGCACUGAAAAGCCAAAGAAGUAAGAGAAGCAGAGUCCCCAAAGAGGUGCAAACACCAGAGUCACUUUCAGAUGACUUGUUUAUUUAGCAUUCAUCCAUAUUAGACACUGUUGGUUUUUAAUGAGCACUCAUUCUGAUUUGUUUGUGUGGAGCUUCAAUGAUGUGUGAAGCUUGCAUUGUCCCACACUUCGCACUGAAUUUCCUCAUAGGUGUUAGAAUCACAACUCAAAACAUUGGCAACCUGGAAGCACCCUCGGAGAAGUAACCAACAUCCAACUGUUGAAAGCUUCCAGUACCCAUUACCAGGCAGGAGGGGAGAUAUAGGGGAUGGGGGAGGUGACAGGAUACUCCCCAAAGUGGCAAGUGGUAAGAUAGCUCUCUGGCUUCACUUUGAGUUCUUGAGAGAGGCUUGCUUUGACCCCACAGUGUGUUAUGGUGAGGGAUGGGGAGAGAAAUAGAAAUUCCACAGCUCUCCACAGCUACAUCCUGAUUUCAGAGGUAAGGGUGCAUGUUGGAGUUAAAGUGAGGUACCCUUCUCAGGUCUGAACAUUAAACCAAUCCUGAGAAGAGUUUUGGCUGAGGAAUCUUACAAAUGUAAACAAAUUAUGCAUAGCUCGGAUGAGGUAAAGAGUGGCAGCCAGUUCAGUAGAUAGUCUUGUAAGAGCAGCCACACUACAGAAUAGGAAUAGGUUACCAAGGGGUAGGAUGUUAGAGAAAAGGUGUGAACCCUUCCCUGGUCUAAAUAUUAAACCAAGCCUGAGAAGAGUUUCUGGUGAGGAAUCUUAAAAGCUCAUCUUGCCUUUGAAGUAGGGUUUUUAGAGCACCAUUUGUUCUCCUCUAAGCCGGGCUAUGACAAACACACAUGACACCCCAAGUUGAAAAUAUGUCAAGUUGAAAAUGUUUCACGGAUCUAGAAAUGUUGAUUACUAUCCUACCUCUCUCUCCUCAUUUUCAAAUGGAUCUGAACCAACAAAUGAGUUCUCUGCUAAGAUUGAUACAAAGCUCUUAAGGAGUAAAGGGGGGGCAUCCUAAGCAGCAGAUAGUAUUGGAGGAGCAGCAACAUUCUAGCCUAGGAGCAAUUUUCCAAUGGCUUGCAUAUCUCUCAGUUAUACAUCAUAAAAUUAUCCAUUGCAGUAUUAUGCCUAAGAACUAUCAGCAUAUUCUGGCUUUGGUGUUUGCGGUCAAGGAGAUCAAUGAGAAUCCCACGAUCUUGCCUAAUAUCACCUUGGGAUUCCACAUCUAUGACAGUUACACCAAUAAUAGGAUGACCUAUCGGGCCAUUCUGGACCUUAUUUCCAUGCAUCCCAGAUAUGUACCCAACUACAGGUGUGGCAUUGAAAAAAAUCUGAUGACUGUCAUUGGGGGACUUGACUUUGGAACAUCCCUCUACAUAGCAACCAUAUUGGGUGUCUACAAGAUUCCCCAGGUAAAAUACUGAUUUGGGCACUUCGCAGCUCACUUAUUAUUAUGUUUCCUAACCAGUGUUCGGAGUUUCCGUGCGCUGCUCUGGUUCGCCAGAAGCGGCUUAGUCCUGCUGGCGACAUGACCCAGAAGCUGUAUGCUGGCUCCCUCGGCCAAUAAAGUGAGAUGAGCGCCGCAACCCCAGAGUUGGUCAUG